UAAAACCCUAAUUCGUGUGGUACUCUCUUUAGUGUGUUUUAAGCCUUGGAAAGAAGGUUGGCUAGGAGGGAAAAGCUUGAAGAGCAAAGGGGUUGAAGCAAGGAAGGUGUCGGAAACAGAACUUACCUCAGCUAGCAUCUUUUGGAGGUACUUCGGGAGAUCAUGGCAAGGCGAAGGCGUGACCGUAUCGCUCUUCAUCCUUAUGAUCUGACUUUUGGGACGCUCUGAUUGAAUAAUGAUUUGAAAACAUUUUUGUAAACAAUACUAUUGGGGUUUUAUUUGUGAUUGAAAAAGUUUAAA